GAUGGUGAAAUGCGAUGUGAAGAGCGAGCGUUGCAGAAAUGCGUUAUAAUGUGGGAUGUUCCCAUAGUACAAACUACGGGAAGUAAGAAAUAGGAAUUUUCGAGGCAGAAGUAUUUUUCUGUCAUCCCUUAAAAUCCCUUUACUACUCCAUCCAGGCCCGUCUUCUUCCUCCUCUAAAGUAUGAAUGUAAUAUCUGACGAGAUGAAUUCCUGUUUUGAAGUUAACAUACACUGCUGCAUCCGACAUCGUAUAGAGGAUGCCAAUUAGCGCAUUAUUCCGUGUAGAACGAUAUGAGUGUGCAAGGCUCAAGUGGAAGUACGCAGUUGUAAGUACUGUCUUUUUUUGGCAUGUGAGAGACAUAAUUGUUUUAUGUACUGUUGAUUUUUGCAGAAAGUCGCAGCUCCAGAGUAUUCUCCUGUGUCUGGAAACAUCAUUCCCAUUACAUUAACUGUGAUUCCAACAAAGAGUAUGGUCUUGGAGGUUAUAAUGUCAGGAUUUUUUAAAUGCUGUGUUUCAAACAUUUAAAGGCUUUUAAGAAUUCAAGCUAUUGGCUAGUACACUUGAAGUCUAAAUGCUAUCUCUUAAGUUAAAGAUUAUCACUAAUAUUCAUGAACUGAAAUUCCUUUUAUGCAUGAUUUAUAAACAUUUUGGCAUGAAUGUUAAAAAAAAAUACCAUUAAUAUUCUUGAAACUGAAUUUUCUUUUAUGCACAAUUGAUGAACAUUUUGGCAUGAAAAUAAUUUGAUAAUCCAUUUACGACUGGUCAUGUAGGGAAUGCUCAAGUGGGAUAAUUCUUCAUUAAUGAAGUCCACCUUUCCACCUUAAACUGCAACAGAAUAAGACUUUUAGAUACAUUACCCCCUAUUUUAAAAACUGGUAGAAAUUGCACCAUCAUAAAUUUUUCAGCAACCAAUAUGUUGUGUUUUGACGGUCAAUAAAAGUGUUGUAUGUCAGAAGGGGUCGGAAUCAGGCAGGAGGAGGUUUUGGUGGGGGUAUGAAUGCAGGUGCAGGGGUUCAGCCAGCAGGAGGAGAUCAGGUCGUCACAGGCCACUUGCGUCGAUCCAUUUCAGCUCAAAAAAAUUUUCAGAGAGCUCAACUUCCUGGUAUAAAGUAACGAUUCCUCAUGGUAGCAGAUAUGCUAGAGAGUACAUACUGAAGACAUUACUGGCCCAUAUUGCACCAACAGUGUUCAUUCCGCUCAAUUAUGAAGUUUGUGGAAUAGAUUCCUCUUUCUUUGUCGACGAUUCAGAGGCCGCAGAAAAGCUGGACAAUGCUGACAGGAAGAUCACCACAGUAAAAGGAUUUAAGGAGGAGCAACUCUCACAUCUCCCUGUGGAUGGUAGCAUAGAGGCGCAGCAUGGCUGUAAAGAGAGCCUUGCCGUCGAGGUGCUUACAGAGCACUGUUCUCUUGGCCUCGGAUUUCGUUAUUAGUUUAUUCCACUGCGCCGUUUCCAUUUAUGGAGGGCGAUGUAUGGAUAAGCUGCCCUAUAUUUUGCAAGCCUUUGCCCAGUAAUUCGAUUUCUUCCUGGCAGUCAGGAUUACUAUUUGUUAAGUUUACGUGGUUCCUCUCAAAGGAAGCCAUGAUUGCCUUCCACCACGUUUCACACAAGGUCGGCUGCGGCAUUUCGCCUGCUUGAUAGUCCGUUGCAGACGGAACGGCCACACCUCUGAUGCACUAGCCACGCCAGUCACUAUAUAGUUGUCUGCGCACUAUCCUAACUACAGCUGAUGCACGAGGAAGUGAACACUUCACCUUUAAGUCGCUUCACACCCACAACCCGGCUGAAUGACUAAUAUACACUGGCAGCAGAAUAGCACCCAGCAUCCAGACUGGUUCAGCAGCUCAAACAUCCUCUUAAUCCAAUGGGUACCAGGGGCACUUUCCCAAGGGUAAGGCAGCUGAGGGUUGAAGCUGACCUCCAUCAAAUGCCAUAGUGGCGGAGCUGUGCCACCACCCUCCACAUACGGCUUCAUGGCAUGGUGUUUAUUUAAGCACAUGGAUAGAUUGAUUUUUGUCAGUAAUGGUUUGAGUCACUUUCUAGUGGCUGUUCAGACAAUAGGUUUCAGUAGCCUGAUGCAUCCCUGUGGCCGCUAUUGCUGCUCUUAUUGUGAUCUGUGUUGCUACAGGAAAAUGUCAAUAAAAUUCAAUGAGCCAUAUGAUCCUGUCUUACCUGUCAUAGCCCCUCGUAACCACUCUGGUCAUCUUCAUGUGACAUGGCUGGAAUCCAGAACAGUGGAACAGGAAGAGGUGGCCUUUACAAGAGAGCAGCGUGGUAAGCACAUCUUCAGAGAAAUGGCCAUUGUGAGGCAGCGGCCCAUUAACGGUGAUGCUUCCGUUCUUCGGACCUCUCAUACGUCCUGGAUGCGUGAUGUUGACACUUGAGGAGGUCACCGGGCGAGUGCCAGUCACCUGAACAAGAUCCAGAAGUCUAACUAUUAGGAGAACAUGCCCUCCGAAGGUCUUGGAGUUCGUGACUUCGUGGACGAUCCUCAUUGAAAUGUCUCCCCUUAUGAUCCGUCCGUGUUGUCUAGCAGAUACACUGAUGCUCUCAGGCUAAUGACUAACACGUUUGGCGUCAACUUUGUCACAAUGAGAGCCGACAAAGGAAUACUGGUCGAUUGUCGGCGAUGGAAAGAGAAGCCUUAAACAUUAGAGCACCUGCUCGAAGAAUAUGUGGCCAGUAAACGUAUGAGGACUCAGUGUCAUGACAUGAUGCCGGUUUGAAUAGCUACUAACUGUGAAGAAAAUGGGUUCAGAAUUACCCGUGAGCAGUUGUUCUCUGUGCAGGAGGAGAGACUCAAACCUGACCUCAUAACUGAUGUGUAAAGGGCUCUCAUUAUCGACGUUUAUGUUCGCUUUGAGAGUGGGGACUCCCUCGCGCGGGCCGCCGCUGAGAAAAUUUCGAAGCAUCAGAUCUUUGCUGAUUUCUUCGUUUCUCAGGGAACUGCUCGAGAGGCCCAGGUGUUGCCGAUUGUGGUAGACUCGAGGAGCGAUUCCUAAGGAUACUCAAAGCCCUAAAUAUUCUAUGGCUGGAUGGCAAACGCCUGGGGGUGUACCUCCCUAUAUGUGGUUUUGGAUCCGGCGUUCAGAUCACAUGCAUGCACCUGGAUUACACAUAUUCUCCUUCUAGAUUUCCUCCCCCCCUGCUUUAAGGCAGGGAAGAGAGUUGCUCACCAGUAGAAAUAUGGGAAUCCGGGGCAAAUCAUUAGAAAUAUGGGAUGCCUCAGGGUCCGUACGAUCCUCGCCUACAUG